UACGAAGGGGGCUAGCGUUGCUCGGAAUCACUGGGCGUAAAGCGCACGUAGGCGGAUCUUUAAGUCAGGGGUGAAAUCCCAAGGCUCAACCUUGGAACUGCCUUUGAUACUGGGGAUCUCGAGUCCGGAAGAGGUGAGUGGAACUGCGAGUGUAGAGGUGAAAUUCGUAGAUAUUCGCAAGAACACCAGUGGCGAAGGCGGCUCACUGGCCCGGUACUGACGCUGAGGCACGAAAGCGUGGGGAGCGAACAGG
rnacentral:rRNA from 1 species